AGGCUUUAGUGAGUAAUGAUCCAAGUGAAUUAAUGGUUGCAGAUUUUGUUUUUCCAAAGAGUAAUUAGUGUAGAAUAUCUUAACAUGGGAUUCAGAGCCACAUGGCCCAUCCUGAUUGGAUUUCAAGCGAAGACAAAAAGACGUGAGAUGCGAGUGGUUAGUCCGAUGUAAACCCACCCGGAUCGGGUCGGGUCGGGUGUCAGCGGGAUCCGCGGGGGAUGGGUGGGAAAGGGAAGAAUCACGCCCACACGUCCUGGUUUCAGAUUCAACCUACAUCUCUCUCUUCUUCCCAUGCGGUCAACACACACAUUACUCUCCUCUCUCUCUCUUCGUGAUUACUAAACUAC